UGCGAACUCCUACGGGAGGCAGCAGUGAGGAAUAUUGGUCAAUGGACGGAAGUCUGACCGAGCAACGCCGCGUGAGUGAAGAAGGUUUUCGGAUCGUAAAGCUCUGUUGUAAGAGAAGAACGAGUGUGAGAGUGGAAAGUUCACACUGUGACGGUAUCUUACCAGAAAGGGACGGCUAACUACGUGCCAGCAGCCGCGGUAAUACGUAGGUCCCGAGCGUUGUCCGGAUUUAUUGGGCGUAAAGCGAGCGCAGGCGGUUAGAUAAGUCUGAAGUUAAAGGCUGUGGCUUAACCAUAGUACGCUUUGGAAACUGUUUAACUUGAGUGCAGAAGGGGAGAGUGGAAUUCCAUGUGUAGCGGUGAAAUGCGUAGAUAUAUGGAGGAACACCGGUGGCGAAAGCGGCUCUCUGGUCUGUAACUGACGCUGAGGCUCGAAAGCGUGGGGAGCAAACAGGAUUAGAUACCCUUGUAGUCCUAUC
rnacentral:rRNA from 1 species